GAUGAACGCUGGCGGCGUGCCUAAUACAUGCAAGUCGAGCGAACAGACGAGGAGCUUGCUCCUCUGACGUUAGCGGCGGACGGGUGAGUAACACGUGGAUAACCUACCUAUAAGACUGGGAUAACUUCGGGAAACCGGAGCUAAUACCGGAUAAUAUAUUGAACCGCAUGGUUCAAUAGUGAAAUACGGUUUUGCUGUCACUUAUAGAUGGAUCCGCGCCGCAUUAGCUAGUUGGUAAGGUAACGGCUUACCAAGGCAACGAUGCGUAGCCGACCUGAGAGGGUGAUCGGCCACACUGGAACUGAGACACGGUCCAGACUCCUACGGGAGGCAGCAGUAGGGAAUGUUCCGCAAUGGGCGAAAGCUUGACGGAGCAACGCCGCGUGAGAGAUGAAGGUCUUCGGAUCGUAAAACUCUGUUAUUAGGGAAGAACAAAUGUGUAAGUAACUAUGCACGUAUUGACGGUAACUAAUCAGAAAGCCACGGCUAACUACGUG
rnacentral:rRNA from 1 species